rnacentral:rRNA from 1 species
GACGAACGCUGGCGGCGCGCUUAACACAUGCAAGUCGAACGGAAAGGCCUGCUUUCCCUUGUGGAUUGCGGGUACUCGAGUGGCGAACGGGUGAGUAACACGUGAGUGAUCUGCCCCCAACUUGGGUAUAAGCCUGGGAAACUGGGUCUAAUUCCCGAUAGGACUGCAGGGUGGUGCCUGUGGUGGAAAACGAUUUUCUAGUGGUUGGGGAUGAGCUCGCGGCGUAUCAGCUUGUUGGUGGGGUAAUGGCCUACCAAGGCGGCGACGGGUAGCCGGCCUGGGAGGGUGGACGGCCACAUUGGGACUGAGAUACGGCCCAGACUCCUACGGGAGGCAGCAGUGGGGAAUAUUGCACAAUGGGCGGAAGCCUGAUGCAGCGACGCCGCGUGGGGGAUGACGGCCUUCGGGUUGUAAACUCCUUUCGACCGCGAGGAAGCCACCUGGUUGGAAGGGUGGUGACGGUAGUGGUAGAAGAAGCACCGGCUAACUACGUG